GAUGAACGCUGACAGAAUGCUUAACACAUGCAAGUCUACUUGAAUUCACUUCGGUGAUAGUAAGGUGGCGGACGGGUGAGUAACACGUAAAGAACUUGCCUUACAGUCUGGGACAACUAUUGGAAACGAUAGCUAAUACCGGAUAUUAUGCGAGAGUCGCAUGGCUCUUGUAUGAAAGCUAUAUGCGCUGUAAGAGAGCUUUGCGUCCCAUUAGCUAGUUGGUGAGGUAACGGCUCACCAAGGCCACGAUGGGUAGCCGGCCUGAGAGGGUGAACGGCCACAAGGGGACUGAGACACGGCCCUUACUCCUACGGGAGGCAGCAGUGGGGAAUAUUGGACAAUGGACCAAAAGUCUGAUCCAGCAAUUCUGUGUGCACGAUGACGGUCUUAGGAUUGUAAAGUGCUUUCAAUUGGGAAGAAAAAAAUGACGGUACCAAUAGAAGAAGCGACGGCUAAAUACGUGCCAGCAGCCGCGGUAAUACGUAUGUCGCAAGCGUUAUCCGGAUUUAUUGGGCGUAAAGCGCGUCUAGGUGGUUUGGUAAGUCUGAUGUGAAAAUGCGGGGCUCAACUCCGUAUUGCGUUGGAAACUGCCUAACUAGAGUAUCGGAGAGGUGGGCGGAACUACAAGUGUAGAGGUGAAAUUCGUAGAUAUUUGUAGGAAUGCCGAUAGAGAAGUCAGCUCACUGGACGAAUACUGACACUGAAGCGCGAAAGCAUGGGGAGCAAACAGGAUUAGAUACCCUGGUAGUCCAUGCUGUAAACGAUGAUUACUAAGCGUCGGGGGUCGAACCUCGGCACUCAAGCUAACGCGAUAAGUAAUCCGCCUGGGGAGUACGUACGCAAGUAUGAAGCUCAAAGGAAUUGACGGGGACCCGCCACAAGUGGUGGAGCAUGGUGGUUUAAUUCGACGCAACGCGAGGAACCUUACCAGCGUUUGGACAUCCUAGGAAUGAGAAAGAGAUUUCUUAGUGCUCCUUCGGGAGAACCUAGAGACAGGUGGUGCAUGGCUGUCGUCAGCUCGUGUCGUGAGAUGUUGGGUUAAGUCCCGCAACGAGCGCAACCCCUAUUGUAUGUUGCCAUCAUUAAGUUGGGCACUCAUGCGAUACUGCCUGCGAUGAGCAGGAGGAAGGUGGGGAUGACGUCAAGUCAUCAUGCCCCUUAUACGCUGGGCUACACACGUGCUACAAUGGGCAGUACAGAGAGAAGCAAAUCUGCGAGGAGGAGCAAAUCUCACAAAGCUGUUCGUAGUUCGGAUUGUACUCUGCAACUCGAGUACAUGAAGUUGGAAUCACUAGUAAUCGCAAAUCAGCUAUGUUGCGGUGAAUACGUUCUCGGGUCU
rnacentral:rRNA from 1 species